rnacentral:rRNA from 1 species
GACGAACGCUGGCGGCGUGCCUAAUACAUGCAAGUCGAGCGAAGUUUUUCUGGUGCUUGCACCGGAAAAACUUAGCGGCGACCGGGUGAGUAACACGUAAAGAACCUGCCUCAUAGACUGGGACAACUAUUGGAAACGAUAGCUAAUACCGGAUAACAGCAUUAACUGCAUGGUUGAUGUUUAAAAGUUGGUUUUGCUAACACUAUGAGAUGGCUUUGCGGUGCAUUAGCUAGUUGGUGGGGUAAAGGCCUACCAAGGCGACGAUGCAUAGCCGACCUGAGAGGGUGAUCGGCCACACUGGGACUGAGACACGGCCCAGACUCCUACGGGAGGCAGCAGUAGGGAAUCUUCCGCAAUGGGCGAAAGCCUGACGGAGCAACGCCGCGUGAGUGAAGAAGGAUUUCGGUUCGUAAAGCUCUGUUGUUAGGGAAGAAUGAUUGUGUAGUAACUAUACACAGUAGAGACGGUACCUAACCAGAAAGCCACGGCUAACUACGUG